rnacentral:rRNA from 1 species
CCCUACUAUACUGUAUGUAAAAUAAAAUAUGCUGGAGUAGUAAUCAGUUAUGGUCUUUAAACUUAAAGGAUUUGGCGGUGCUCAAGUCUAGUCAGAGGAACCUGUACUGUAAACGAUAGUCCACGAAUGAUCUUACUUUGUCUUGUUUUCAGUUUAUAUACCGCCAUUAUAAAAUAAUGUUUAAAAUUAUUUAUUUUAACAAAUUAGAUUAGUUAUAUUAGGUCAAGGUGUAGCUUAUGGUAGAGUAGUUAUGGGUUACAAUGUAUUAUAUAUAACACGGAUUAAAUUUUGAAUUAGAUUUAGGAAGGUGGAUUUGAUUGUAAGUCUAUUUUAAUAAGUUAGAUUGAUAUAAGCUCUAGGGCAUGUACAUAUCGCCC